GCAUCUCAGUUCGGAUUGGAGUCUGCAACUCGACUCCAUGAAGUCGGAAUCGCUAGUAAUUCCAGAUCAGCAUGCUGGGGUGAAUGCGUUCCCGGGCCUUGUACACACCGCCCGUCACACCAUGAGAGUCGGGAACACCCGAAGUCCGUAGCCUAACCGCAAGGGGGGCGCGGCCGAAGGUGGGUUCGAUAAUUGGGGUGAAGUCGUAACAAGGUAUC
rnacentral:rRNA from 1 species